rnacentral:tRNA from 1 species
GGAGGUGCAUGGGGCCUGGUGGUCUCCGCAGACUUCAAAUCUGUAGUUAGUCAGUGAAAGCUGGCUUGGGUGGGUUCGAUUCCUACACGCCUCCGCCA